CUGCGAAUGGCUCAUUAAAUCAGUUAUCGUUUAUUUGAUAGUACCUUACUACACGGAUAUCUGUGGUAAUUCUAGAGUUAAUACGUGCUAAAAACCCCGACUCCGGGAGGGGUGUAUUUAUUAGACUAAAAACCAAUGCCCUUCGGGGCUCCUUGGUGAUUCAUAAUAACUCAACGAAUCGCAUGGCCUUGCGCCGGCGAUGGUUCAUUCAAAUUUCUGCCCUAUCAACUUUCGAUGCUAGGGUAGUGGCCUAGCAUGGUUACAACGGGUAACGGGGGAUUAGGGUUCUAUUCCGGAGAGGGAGCCUGAGAAACGGCUACCACAUCCAAGGAAGGCAGCAGGCGCGCAAAUUACCCAAUCCCGACACGGGGAGGUAGUGACAAUAAAUACUGAUACAGGGCUCUUUUGGGUCUUGUAAUUGGAAUGAGUACGAUUUAAACACCCUAACGAGGAACAAUUGGAGGGCAAGUCUGGUGCCAGCAGCCGCGGUAAUUCCAGCUCCAAUAGCGUAUAUUAAAGUUGUUGCAGUUAAAACGCUCGUCGUUGAACCUUGGGCCUGGGCGACCGGUCUCCCUCACCGGAUGCACUGGUUCGGCCGGGCCUUUCCUUCUGGGGAAUCGCAUGCCCUUCGCUGGGCGUGUCGAGGAUCCAGGACUUUUACUUUGAAAAAAUUAGAGUGGUCAAAGCAGGCCUUUGCUCGAAUACCUUAGCAUGGAAUAAUAGAAUAGGACGUGCGGUCCUAUUUUGUUGGGUUCUAGGACCGCCGUAUGAUUAUAGGGUCAGUUGGGGCAUCAUAUUCAAUUGUCAGAGGGGAAUUCUUAGAUUUUUGAGACUACUACUGCGAAACAUUUGCCAAGAUGUUUCAUUAUCAUGAACCAAAUUAGGGAUCGAAACAAC
rnacentral:rRNA from 1 species